GGAGGAGUGUUGAUCGAUAAUUCAGCUUAGGAUGUCUAGUAAUUAUGUAUGUUAAGUCAAAGGUGUGUGUUUGGUUAAAGAGUCGUGUCUGUUAUGUUUAGGCAGUUAUGUCUUAAGGGACACAAGAAAGAAGAGUUGCAUCUCUUAACUUUCAAACCCGAUUGAAGUCUAUUUAAACAUAAGUUG
rnacentral:sRNA from 1 species